GCAAAAAAGGCUACGUCAGAGACACCGCCCCAAGAGGAGGAGUCUGCCAGUGCGGAAGAGAUGUGGCUGGCAGUACUAAGGGACCUGCAGCUGGAGUAACAACCCGGAAACAAGAAACCGUAGCCCCAUAGCUAAAAGAUAAUAUAACCAAGUGCUUAGCGUUUUUAAAGGUUAACUAUGGCUUAGAAUGUACAGAGACUGGGACCCGCUACUACAGAGGAAAGUACAAAAGAGAGCCCAACCCAAAGGGGGGCACUUCUUCUGGAUCAACUGAGACUUAGACAGACUCAGAGAACGGGGAUCCUCGAAAUUGUAUUUACACUGGGUAGUUACUACGGACCGAGACAGUGGACCAAGUCAUCUUCUCCAGAGGGACUACAGUCUCCUGGGGGACAUCAACGUGAGGGGCCCCCUGGUUACAGUGGGGGUGUACUCCUCUACCCUGUCUGCUGCCUGCGCUGGGUGGAGGGAGUUUGCUCAUUAUCAACCAUUCCAUCGGUCCUCCUAAGGAGAGGUCUCCACUCGCCUGCGGCACCAGGCCAUGCAAAGCGAACUCGCCCAGUCUUUUCCCAGAAAACACGGCACCACCACCAAGAAAGAUCUGGGAGAGAAAUAUCUCUGGAUGAGAUGACAGAAACAGUAUAAGUCAAGAGAAACUUUGACCAACUCCAGCGCAGCUCCAAGAUCCAUUUGCAGCCCUUGAGCAGAGCUGCCAACCAUCAAACACUUCAAGCCGUCACGGCUGGGGGAAAGUCAGUGGCCAUAAGAACAGAACUGUGGACAAAGUGGAAUAAGAAGGCCAAAUCUCUAUGGGCACAUAAAACAAGAAGGCCAGUAACCUAGUGUCCUUUUCACACACUCGGCCCACUAAAGGAAUCAGGGAGGUAAUAAGAGCGGUGCCCUGACAUUUUAAAACAGACACUUCACUGACCGGGAGUCCAUUUCAAAGGCCAUUUGGCUUUGCAAAAAAAGGAAUGGUUUGUUGACUGAAGUUACAGAGGUUUUCUAGAGAAGCUAUUUGGGAAAUGUGUGUUUAAUUGAUCUACGGACUGGCUUUGUUCCAUUCUGCUUUAUUGGUAUCUUUAUCAAUUUUGACGGACCGAUAUGCUCGGGGUAUUAUGCAGCCCCAAUGUCAUCCAUUUGUUCCUUUAAGUACUUGAUUGGUUCACUGCUCUUAUUUUUACAUGUUUCAUAUAGCAGGCACUCUUAUUCAGAGCAACUUACAGGAGCAAUUAAGGUGAAGUGCCUUGCUCAAGGGCACCACAUCACCAGGAAUUAAAACCAGUAACCUUUUGUUUACCAGCCCAACGCUCUUAACCACUAGGCUAUUACUGCACAGUACAAUACAAUCUGGAAAACUGUGCCCGCUCAUUUGGCCUUUUUUGGGGGGCUUCUCAAGAAAUGCUGGCGGCCAUGACAGAAGCCAAACAUGAGUUGGCUUGGGGGUGUGGUUUGAUAUGUGUUUAUUGGCUGGUGCGGCUGGCUUCCGGGUUAAGCGGGCAUUGUGUCAAGAAGCAGCAUGGCUUGGCUGGGUUGUGUUUCGGAGGACGCACGGCUCUCG